CCUACGGGUGGCAGCAGUGGGGAAUAUUGCACAAUGGGGGAAACCCUGAUGCGGCGACGCCGCGUGAGUGAAGAAGUAAUUCGUUAUGUAAAGCUCUAUCAGCAGGGAAGAAAAUGACGGUACCUGAGUAAGAAGCCCCGGCUAACUACGUGCCAGCAGCCGCGGUAAUACGUAGGGGGCAAGCGUUAUCCGGAUUUACUGGGUGUAAAGGGAGCGUAGACGGCAGUGCAAGUCUGGAGUGAAAGGCGGGGGCUCAACCCCCGGACGGCUCUGGAAACUGUACGGCUGGAGUGCAGGAGAGGGAAGUGGAAGUGCUAGUGACGCGGUGAGAUGCGGAGAGAUGAGGAGGAACGCCAGGGGCGAAGGCGGGUGAGUGGACUGU
rnacentral:rRNA from 1 species